GGGACGAACGCUUGCGGCGUGCCUAAGAAAUGCAAGUCGAGCGGAGUUAGGGGCUUCGGCCCCGAAACUUAGCGGCGAACGGUCGCGUAACACGUAGGCAACCUGCCCCGAAGACUGGGAUAGCCCAGCGAAAGUUGGAUUAAUACCGGAUGUGAAUGAUAGAAGGCAUCUUUAUAUUAAACGAGCAAUUGGCUUUGGGAUGGGCCUGCGGUCUAUCAGCUAGUUGGUGAGGUAACUGCUCACCAAGGCGACGACGGAUAGCUGGUCUGAGAGGAUGGUCAGCCGGACUGGGACUGAGACACGGCCCAGACUACCGUACGGGGGCAGCAAGUGGGAAUCUGCGCAAGUCGGGGCAACCCGUGACGCAGCGACGCGCGUG
rnacentral:rRNA from 1 species